rnacentral:rRNA from 1 species
GACAGAGGUGCCGAGCGUUAGGCGGAAUCACUGGGCUUAAAGCGUGUGUAGGCGGAUCUGUAAGUACCUUGUGAAAUCCCACGGCUCAACCGUGGAACUGCUUGGUAUACUGCGGGUCUUGAGCCACCUAGGGGCAAGUGGAACAAACGGUGGAGCGGUGAAAUGCGUAGAUAUCGUUUGGAACGCCAAUGGUGAAAACAGCUCGCUGGGAAUGAUCUGACGCUGAGACGCGAAAGCCAGGGGAGCGAACGGG